CUCCACAACGACGCCCCCAAGAGGGUAACGACGCAACGCGCCGCCGCCGACGAGACCGCGAGGUCUAAGGUUUUCACCCGGAGCCAAACCACGGGGCGGAUACCCACAACGACGCCCCCAAGAGGGUAACGACACCCGCAGGCAUCGCCGCCGUUGGCGCCGAGGCGCUGAGUUUUCACCCGGAAGCAUCCGCACACCGCACCCGAAACUAAGCCGCCCUAGUCCCCAAGCUAGGCUUCCGAAACAUGAUCUGGGAGUUGCCAAAGCCGAAGCGCCGCCAACACCAGGAUCCCCCAUCGUCUGCUCCUCGCCAUCCCCAUGACCGAAGGGAGAGACCACCACCACCGCCACGUUGCCCGCCGUAGAGCCACCCGCGCAGUCCACCUUCCGAGGCCGCCGCCCCGGCAUCCCCACGAGCUCGAGCCCAUGGCAUGAUCAGCACACCACAACACGAAACUGGCAGGGUAUGACGACACCAUAGCAUGCAACCGUCAAAGCAAGUGGCAUCCUAGGGGAGGGGAUCCACCCACCGCCACCAGAGGAGCACGCCGUCCGGACGCAGUAGCAUGGCCGAGGAGGCCUAGAUUAGGCCCGGCCGCCUGCCAGGCCACGAUCAAGCCCCUUAGCCAAGCCGCCACGCUGCUGCGCCUAGGCUGCCGCCGCCAUCCAGCUGCAGCUUCAUGCCAGACCUACCCAAGCCACCACCGAGCCGCCAUGUGCUAGCCAAAUGCCAUGGACGGCGCCGCCGCAACCUCACUCCUCGCAAGAUAGCCCGGCCGAGACCGCGCACCACCGCAAAGGAGCACCCUCGCCACGACGCCCGGGGACAUAGCCGCGCCGUUACUGACGCCACCACGCCGCCGGUCAAGCCGGUCAAUUUGUCGGCAUCCCCAAACUCGCCACCGAACAGCAGCCAAAGCACCGCCUCCACCUUCUCGGACGUAGGAGGAACCUCGCGGUUCGCGCUGCCAAGGGCUGCCGGAACCAGGCCCACCUGGCCCAGAUCCGGACCAGCAAUGGUGCAGCAUGGGGGGGCUCCGCCGGCGUUGGCCAAAUCCAGACCCACCUGGUCCAGGACGAGGCCCGUCCGGCCCAGAUCGGGGCCCGCCUGGCCCCAAUCCGAGCGGCGCCGCCACCAGCAACUUCCUCCGCCGCUGCCUUCCGUCGCUGCCCUCCGCCGCACGCCGCGUCCGCCCACACCUCCGCCACGAGCCGCCGUCGACCUGCCGGGCCGCCGCCGCUGGACCGAGCUCGGAGAGCCCCUAGGAGCACCGCCGCUGUCCGCUACUGCCCCGCGCAGAGCCGCACCGCGAGCGGGUAGGGAGGCCCCGCCGCCGCCGGCACCGCGCGGGCUUUGCCCGGCGGCCCUCGCCGGCGGCGGCGGAGGAGGAGGGAGGAGAGGGAGUGGAGGCGAGGGGAGCUAGGGUUUCGCCCGGUCGUCGCCCGCGGGGGACGACCCGAGCGAAGCGUUUUUUGACCUGGCUCCUUCUCUCAUCUCUGAACGUCCUGCCCAUGUCGUUUGAUCAAACUAAGUUUGUCAUACCUUGAUUCAAAUAAAGAGCCGAGAAAUUGCAGGUGCAAAUGAGGAGGGAAUGAGGGAUAUAUGGUAUAGCAAAUUUCCUAAAAAGUAUAGAUUUAAUUGAAGAAGGCCUGAAAAUAUGAUUUGUUGGAAGUAAGUGACACAUGUUUCUGCUUUUCAUGCAUUUUCCUGGUCAUAGUUUUUUACUGAUGAAAUAAACACAUCAAAAGGGGAUUUCACAUGUUACUGCCUAAGAGGAUAUGGAGCACCAAACUUCUGCAUUGAAUGUACACUAUAUCUUUGCUGCUAUUUUCAUGCUAUCUAAGCAUACAUUAUAUAUGCGUUAUUAUGUUUUGCUUUAUUCUUCACUGUUGGGAGUGGUGUUUUGGCACCCAGGAGCAUAUGCUCACAUGUGCCAAAUUGAAUUUCUGUUAUUAUAGAGAGAAGUUUAUUUUCUCAUUUUUGCGCUUGCCUGUAGUUACCUGAUCCUAAAUUAGUAUGACUUAAUUCAAACCAUGAGUGUAGUAGCGAAGUGUUGCUACCGAGAUUUCAAGGAAAUCGCUGGGAAAAUUACAUGCAAAUUGAUAGCACCCCGUGCGCUUCUACAAAGUGACAUUACAACUUUAGAACUGACAAGAUGGUCUAUUGUCUCCCAAUUCAUUUGGAAUUGUGAUGUACCAUCUAAGAUCCCAUGUCAUUCUUUGGUUGGUAUUAAACAACACAAUCCUUAUUAGAGACAAAUUGGGAAAACACAUGCAUGUUAUUUAGGACAGAGGUGUUAUAUGCUUAUAAGAGAUAAAUUAGUCUUGCAACUUGAGUUCUCUGUUCAGAGAUGUUAUAUGCUUCUCUUACCCAACUGGUAUGGACACGGUUUCUCAAAUUAAUUCAAUUAACUGUGGGUGAUGAUUUUUUUGUCAAUUUCAUCUCUCCGCUCAACCUAUUCGUACUAUGAACAUUUGUAUCUACAUGUUAACUGAAGUAUUUCUCUCUGUAGAGGUUAAUUUCCUUCUCACUUAUGUAGGUGUUCAUUUGUCACCUAUAUGGAAGCUCAUUUGUUCAGCAAUUUUUGUUGCAGGUCUCACAAAACCACCACCACUGGGUCGUGUGUCGGCUCCAUCUCUUCACUCUUCUUGUCGCCGAUGCAUUAGGUAGUUGUUAGUUAUCUUUUCUCCUCAUAAAUUAUUGAUUUAUUCGUUUGUUUCCUUCCAUUUGUUGCCUGGAUUGAUUCGAUGUGGUCUAGAAUCGGGUGGGAGAGGAACACACCGAGUGAGUUAAUUUGCGGUUCUCUCCUCCACUAGCUUCUCUAAUAAACAAUCAGUUGUCAGUGUGUUGUGCAUCUCAUGGAAUUUUCCAACUCAGUUUCUUGUGGCAACCGAUGUAUCUUACUGAGUUUUGCAUUGAGAAAUAUUUAGUUGUGUGGGGAAGAGAGAAUUUAGGUUGUCUCACCGUUCAGUUUAUGUCGUUUCAAAACUUUCUUCGGCUGGGACACACUGCUCCAUCAUCCUCGUCCUUCCCUGCCACUAUCUACUGUUUGCUUUGUCUACUAAUUUAGCAACCAGGAGGUGUGCCUUUAACUGAUGAGCAUCAGGGCCACCUUACUUGUGUAUGCCGGGCCUCUCCAUUUAGAAAAUGAUUGUGCAUCUUUGAUUGCUCUGCUAAAUGCCGAGGUGCCUACAUAUCUGCUUGUGAUGGGGCUGUAGAAGAUAUAAAGGAUUCACUGUCCUCUUUUCCAGCUUGUGUUAUUUCAUAAGUUAACAGAGAAGGGAACUGUGUGGCUCAUCUCCUGGCCAGGUCAUCGCCUCAUCUUCUGUCACCUCCCUCGAUUCCAACAGCACAAGCGACUAAUGGUUUGGCAUUUCAAUCAGUUUACUUCCAAAAUUUUGUAAUUGGUCUGAAUAGUGGAACAGAGGUAUGAGAAAGACUAGACGUCAGGUUGCAAGGGAUGCAUAAUUUUGGACCCCGCAUAGAGCACCCCUGGGCUUAAACUCAUAUUGUUCAGUUCACGUUGAUGCAAUUCACGUGGUGCUUGUGAAUUGACAAUGCAUGGAUUGUACCAGGAAGUUGGUGCAUUAAUCAUCCUUGAAGGUACACAUAUUUAUGUGAACCUUUGAAUAUGGUGCUCUUGUGCAUUUGUUCCAGGAUGUAACUGAAAUACUUUUGACUCAAGUUAUAGAACCACCGAACUCGGUAGCUAGAAACUGUAUAGCUGGUAUCCCCUGAUAGAUUUGUAUUCUAGAUUUCUAUUCCCCAUCUACCACAAUGCACCAUAGUCACAAUGCUAUUCUAGGGGUUAUCACCCAGAAACUGUACUAAUCGAUGGCUGUUGAUUCUGCAGAAUUGAGGGUCAUGUAAUUGUUACCUUUUUGUUCUUGGAUAGCCACUAUUAUCUUGCCAAGUAUCUGACGUUGGCAACCUGAUGGAUGGUGUAUUUUAUUUGUUCACAUAAUUAUUUUCUCCUAUUGUGGAACAUACAAGUAAACAUGCUAUUUUAAUAUACAGAUAUUAGACCAAGGUUAAGUUCUGGUACCACAUCAAACUCUAAAGGCAUUAUUGGUCAUAGGAUCUGGAAGAACUCGAGUGAGCAACAUAGCAAGGACCAUAUCUUCCUCUUGGGGGAAGCCAAGCUGCUCGUGUAUUACAUUUUCUUUGUGAAGUGAAUGAGAAAAUAGAAUAAAUGAUUUUUUAAAAGAUAGUUUGCUCUAUGGUGUUCCGUGUUCUGCCACUCCGUAUUGUGCUGGGAAAUGUUUCCAUCUCCGAUACCUUUGCGCCAGUUAAUGAUAAAGUGUUCCUUUUUAGAUUAAAAAUUUACUUUAUUUAUGUACACCUUAAUAUGUAUAAAUCAAUUUUCUUUUUUG